AUAGAACCUCUUGGAACCCCAGUUUCCACAUCUGGAAGAAGGGGCAGAAUAGUAUCAAAAAUGCUUCACUCCCAGGAAUGUGGUGAGCAUAAAAUUAAAUAAUGAAAAAGUCAACUAUAAAGCACUAAAUAAAUAUAAGAUGGUGAAUCUGACAGAGGAAGAAUUAAAUGACUUGUUCAAGGUCACCUUUGAGGAAUUUGCAGGAAGUUUAACUUAUGUAUAUUUUUCCCCUGUAGUACCCCAGGGGCCUAAUGACAGGAAAACAAAUGAAGUGGAUCCCCAUCUUCCACCCUUGCCUCCGCUAAGCCAUCAGAGGACAAGUUUCCCACCCCACUCUCUCCAAUUUCACUUGAAAAAUAAAACAGGCCUCCAGCUGUGAAAUGGAUUAUGCUCUACAACUAUGUACCUGGAAUAGAAGCCAUCAUUCUUCAUGAAGUUUGCUGAGAAUUAUGUAUCGCAGCCUGGCAGCUUCCUGUUCCCUCGUUAGCCUGCAUAUCCCACUUAACGAAAGAUUCGCCAUGCACUGACUUGUAUGUGACUCACAGUGUGCACAGUAUGCACUGACUGUGACCUGUCCCCAAAUGAACACAGUACCAGUCUAACGUACCACCUUACCUAUGGCUCUCUCCCAUACACACCCAAUCCACUGCAGGCAAAUGAUCUACCCACAAUCUCCCAAACACAGUCUUCACUGUCUGGUCACUGCUCCUUUACACGUGGCAUUCACUCUGCUUGCAGAGGCAUUUUAGAGUGGAUAUCUAAAGAAGGAGAUUUCUCCCAAGCAUGCACAUAGGAGGGCACUGGUCUGAUGCUCUGAUUGACAGUUCACUACUGCAAAGAGGACAGAUGAGAAAGCAGCUCAGCUCUUUGAUGCUAAGGAAAAAACACAGAACCUCACUUAUCUAUAUGUAAUCACAAACUUUAGUAUCCAUCAGUACCAAGCCAAAAUAGUUCCUGUUUGGACAUACAUUAUUAGAAAUUAACAACAAAAUUUAGUAAAUGGUUGGCCAGUUCUGAACGCAGAAUAGCCACCUCUGAGUGAGCAUUUUGAUCAAUCUAACUCACACAUUUCUGGUUCAACAAAGUUAUUAGAUGAGAAGACCCAAAACGGUGUGUAAAUGGGACACAGAUUUAUAAACAGUUAAUUUAUAAUCAUAUAUGGCAAAUUAACCUGUAUGUCACUAAUGUGCCACCAAUCAUAAGACAUGCCAUCAUUUAAUCUGUCAUGAAGAAGUGAAAAACUCAAUUAAACGGUGACAUCAUGCUUCCUGAUUAGAAA
ensembl:lncRNA novel transcript